rnacentral:rRNA from 1 species
UUCCUACGGGACGCAGCAGUAGGGAAUCUUCCACAAUGGGCGAAAGCCUGAUGGAGCAACGCCGCGUGGGUGAAGAAGGUCUUCGGAUCGUAAAACCCUGUUGUUAGAGAAGAAAGUGCGUGAGAGUAACUGUUCACGUUUCGACGGUACCUAACCAGAAAGCCACGGCUAACUACGUGCCAGCAGCCGCGGUAAUACGUAGGUGGCAAGCGUUAUCCGGAAUUAUUGGGUGUAAAGGGGGCGUAGACGGGAUGUCAAGUUAGUUGUGAAAUACCUCGGCUCAACUGAGGAACUGCAACUAAAAC